rnacentral:rRNA from 1 species
GAUGAACGCUAGCUACAGGCUUAACACAUGCAAGUCGAGGGGAAACGACAUUGAAGCUUGCUUCGAUGGGCGUCGACCGGCGCACGGGUGAGUAACGCGUAUCCAACCUGCCUCUGACUAAGGGAUAACCCGGCGAAAGUCGGACUAAUACCUUAUGAGGUUUUCAGCAGACAUCUAACGAAAACGAAAGAUUUAUCGGUCAGCGAUGGGGAUGCGUCUGAUUAGCUUGUUGGCGGGGUAACGGCCCACCAAGGCAACGAUCAGUAGGGGUUCUGAGAGGAAGGUCCCCCACAUUGGAACUGAGACACGGUCCAAACUCCUACGGGAGGCAGCAGUGAGGAAUAUUGGUCAAUGGGCGAGAGCCUGAACCAGCCAAGUAGCGUGCAGGAUGACGGCCCUAUGGGUUGUAAACUGCUUUUAUGUGGGGAUAAAGUGAGCUACG